rnacentral:rRNA from 1 species
GAUGAACGCUAGCGGCAGGCUUAAUACAUGCAAGUCGAGGGGCAGCGCAGUGUAGCAAUACAUGGGCGGCGACCGGCAAGCGGGUGCGGAACACGUACGCAACCUUCCUUUAAGUGGGGGAUAGCCCAGGGAAACUUGGAUUAAUACCCCGUAAUAUUAUGAAGUGGCAUCACUUUAUACUUAUAGCUCCGGCGCUUAAAGAUGGGCGUGCGACUGAUUAGGUAGUUGGCGGGGUAACGGCCCACCAAGCCUGCGAUCAGUAACUGGUGUGCGAGCACGACCAGUCACACGGGCACUGAGACACGGGCCCGACUCCUACGGGAGGCAGCAGUAAGGAAUAUUGGUCAAUGGACGCAAGUCUGAACCAGCCAUGCCGCGUGGAGGAUGAAGGUCCUCUGGAUUGUAAACUUCUUUUAUUUGGGAAGAAACCCACUGUUUCUACGGUGGUUGACGGUACCAGAUGAAUAAGCACCGGCUAACUCCGUGCCAGCCGCCGCGGUAAGAC